GGCCUAACACAUGCAAGUCGAGCGGCAGCACAGGCGUAGCAAUACGCUGGGUGGCGAGCGGCGGACGGGUGAGGAAGGCAUCGGAAUCUACCUAUUUGUGGGGGAUAACGUAGGGAAACUUACGCUAAUACCGCAUACGACCUGGGACUGACAGGUGUCAGGUGAAAGCGGGGGCCCAGCGAUGGCCUCGCGCGGAUAGAUGAGCCGAUGUCCGAUUAGCUAGUUGGCGGGGUAACGGCCCACCAAGGCGACGAUCGGUAGCUGGUCUGAGAGGAUGAUCAGCCUCAUUGGGACUGAGACACGGCCCAAACUCCUACGGGAGGCAGCAGUGGGGAAUAUUGGACAAUGGGCGCAAGCCUGAUCCAGCCAUGCCGCGUGGAUGAUGAAGGCCUUAGGGUUGUAAAGUCCUUUUAACGGGGAAGAUAAUGACGGUACCCGUAGAAUAAGCCC
rnacentral:rRNA from 1 species